GUUCCUCCAGAAGACUAAUUGCGACGGAGUGGUGAACGAGGAAGGGAAGGGAUCGGAUCGGUGGAUUUCUCUGGGAGAAUCAGAGAUUUGGCGACCUGUUCUUGAAGAUUGGCGGACAGUUUUUGGCCGCUUCUUGUGUUUCCAUUCGAUGAAGAUGAAUGAUUCCCAGUGUUUCUUGAUAAGCAAUUUAGAGCAGUGGCGUUUGAACGAGCCUUUCGUAGAGUCGAGUCAAAAGAAGCACAUGCGAGGAAAAAGAAACUUCCUAGGAGGAGGAGAAACUGUGCCAAAAGUAAGUUGAGAUCAAAUGUAGUGGAACAGAUUCCAAAUCACACGGUUGAGUCUUACAUCAGCUGCAAAAAUGAAAGCUUAAAUAUUUCAAAAUCAAGAGUGCCUACUCAAGAACAAUCCAUGGAGAAUUUCUGGACAUAGAAAAUUUCUGUCCCUACUGCUGCUGCAAGAAAACUAGUCACAGCGGAAUAGAUCACUUUUGUCCAUUCCGCACCUGGAGGGAGGAAACGUUUUCUUAGAUCACUUUUGUCCGGUGGUGUGCACCAGAAGUAUCCUUCAUAUUAUCAGAACAGAACAGUGACUGUAGUGGACAAACUAGUCACAGCCUUUCUCCUUUUGGUUCAAGGUACAAAAUCCCACAGCAGAGGCCUGAAUUUGGUCCGGCUGCACGGGGACCAAUUGCUCCAAAGGGCAAUUCUUAUAAGCUGCAGCGCAGUAAUUGAUCUUGAUAAUUAGGGGAUUUAGUUAGGCCAAUUUGGCGAGAGAUAGAGAAUGAAUGUUACUUCUGAGUAGUUGAGAUAUAGUGCUUGAUUCCCAAAGCAAAGGGGACAUGAUGAUAGUGCGGCUUCUUAAUUUUUAGAGCUGUAUAGAAAUGGCAAUGCUUCAUGACUUUGGUGUUGCAAUAUAUGGUAGUUCUUUGAAACUGUUUGCAGUUUGGGUAUGCCUAUAACCCUGCUUUUACCGUUGUACAGGGGUACUGGAGGUCAUUGAUAUAUAUGAUUUAAAUGGGAAAGCUUGCACAAGUUUUAUUCGUCUUCUGGGUGUCUAUUACCUGUCUAAUGAAUUGAGAAACUAAAAAUCUUUUUGAGUAUUUAGAGGGUCGUGGAUCUGCUCUUGGGGAUGGUAGUUGAAGGGGUGAUGAACUUUGCAGGCGGGGGCACUCGGGACAUUUUGCUGUACCUUUUUCAAAAAGAGAUGAUCCAGGUAUCCUUCAUUUUGUUCUUGUUUGUGGGUUGUAUCUGAUGGUGGGGAGAUUGAUCAGAAGAAUGUUAUGAAGCAAGAAACACAUGCGAGGGAAAAGAAACUUCCUUGACCUUGAAGAAGGAGAAGGGUGCCAACUGCCAAGAAUAUGUCAAGAUCAAAUCAAAAGCUGCAAAAAUAUGUCAAGAUCAAGAGUGCUUACUCAAGAACAAUCUGUGGGUAUGUUUCUUUUUCCCCUUCUUUUCUUUUCCAAAAAUUAGCUACAUGUAUGUUUGUGUGUGUGUGUGUGUGUAUGUAGAAACAAUUGAAAAUUGCUGUCACUAGUAUAUGUAUAUGUAUAUGAUGGUGGGGAGAUUGAUCAGAAGAAUGGAAUGUUAUGAAGCAAGAAACACAUGCGAGGAAAAAGAAACGACCUUGACCUUGAAGAAGAAGGAGAAAGGGUGCCAAGAAUAUGUCAAGAUCAAAUCAAAAGCUGCAAAAAUAUGUCAAGAUCAAGAGUGCUUACUUAAGAACAAUCUGUGGGUAUGUUUCUUUUUCCCUCCAAAAAUUAGCUACAUGUAUGUUUGUGUGUGUGUAUGUAUAUGUAGAUGCAUAUGCAGAAACAAUUGAAAAUUGCUGUCACUAGUGCUGAAACAAAAUGUCAGCCAUUUGGGUUAAUUGCCUGUCUCUCAAAAUCUUGAUAAAACAUAAACGAAUUGUUUUAGCAGUAUGCUGCCUUGCUCGAAGACCAUUUUGAUACUACUCAGAUCAUUACUUGGCCUUCUCGUGUCACA